GAAUUUUAAUUUGACACAUUUUAAGCCAGUUUAAUACCCAGUAGCAUUGCAUUUUCAGUGUCAGUGGUGUUAUGUGCCCAUUUCUUCUGCUCUGUAGACAAUCCUGGAUUCACAAGUGAAUAAGCGUACAGGUUUUGUUUAAUGUCACCAGUUGCAGCUCUCCUCUCUCUGAGCUAAUCCUCCUCGCUGACGGCCUCACUCUCUGUCUCCCACGCUUCUAGCACACUAAUGAUUUUGCCCUGUACACGGAGGCCAUUAAGUUUUUCAACCACCCAGAAAGCAUGGUCAGGAUCGCGGUCAGGACUAUCACACUCAAUGUGUACAAAGUGUCAUUGGACAACCAGCACAUGCUACACUACAUCCGGGACAAAACGGCCGUGCCGUACUUCUCCAAUUUGGUCUGGUUCAUCGGCAGCCAUGUCAUCGAGCUGGACAAGUGUGUGCAGACUGAUGAAGAACAUAAAAACAGAGGAAAACUC